GAUGAACGCUAGCGGCGGGCUUAAUACAUGCAAGUCGAGGGGUGGUAGCAAUACUACACCGGCGCACGGGUGCGUAACGCGUAUGCAAUCUACCUUUCUCUGGGGGAUAGCCCGGGGAAACCCGGAUUAAUACCGCAUAACAAAUUUCUUGGCAUCAAGAGAUUUUAAAAGAUUUAUCGGAUAGAGAUGAGCAUGCGUAAGAUUAGAUAGUUGGCGAGGUAACGGCUCACCAAGUCUACGAUCUUUAGGGGCUCUGAGAGGAGAAUCCCCCACACUGGCACUGAGAUACGGGCCAGACUCCUACGGGAGGCAGCAGUAGGGAAUAUUGGGCAAUGGGCGCAAGCCCGACCCAGCCACGCCGCGUGCAGGAAGAAGGCCCUCUGGGUUGUAAACUGCUUUUGACUGGGAAGAAAAGACUCCUUGCGAGGAGAGUUGACGGUACCAGCAGAAUAAGCCACGGCUAACUACGUGCCAGCCGCCGCAGUAAUAC
rnacentral:rRNA from 1 species